rnacentral:tmRNA from 1 species
GGGGACGAAAGGGCUCGACAGCGGUUUCGUCGUCCGGUCACGCGUGCCGAGGCGCCGCGCCCUCGUUAAUCCCGCGGCAAACCUGCAACUGGCGAAGAGGAAUUCGCCCUCGCCGCUUAAGCGGUGACGUCGGUCUCCAGCCUCCCUCGGACGGGCGGAGAUCGGCGCCGUGCAGUCCGGGUGCCCGGGCCGGGUCGCCGGGACCGGUCCGCCAAGACAACUCCGGCUGGCGCGCGCCCUGGCCUGUCGUUCGGCAGGGGCGCGGGCGAGACCUCAAGGAACGACUACGCACGUAGUGGGGCCGGGUGCGGGCCGACUGGACGGGGAGUUCGAUUCUCCCCCGUCUCCACCA